AUGGGAAUAACUAAGCAGAAUUUUGGAAAUGAGCAUGAAAUGUCUAUAAAUGAAUUUUCUCAUUAUCCGUUAUUUCCGGGUCUUUUCGUUGCAUUCACUUACAAGAAGAAACAACCACCAGCGUUUGGUGCAGCACUUGCAUUUUGGUUCGUUCUUCUUCCUUUCCUUGGUCUUUCGUUCCGUCAUAUUCCAAACAACUGA
rnacentral:rRNA from 1 species